rnacentral:rRNA from 1 species
AACGAACGCUGGCGGCAUGCCUAACACAUGCAAGUCGAACGAGACCUUCGGGUCUAGUGGCGCACGGGUGCGUAACGCGUGGGAACCUGCCCUUAGGUUCGGAAUAACUCCCCGAAAGGUGUGCCAAUACCGGAUAAUGUCUUCGGACCAAAGAUUUAUCGCCUUUGGAUGGGCCCGCGUUGGAUUAGCUAGUUGGUAGGGUAAAAGCCUACCAAGGCGACGAUCCAUAGCUGGUCUGAGAGGAUGAUCAGCCACACUGGGACUGAGACACGGCCCAGACUCCUACGGGAGGCAGCAGUGGGGAAUAUUGGACAAUGGGCGAAAGCCUGAUCCAGCAAUGCCGCGUGAGUGAUGAAGGCCUUAGGGUUGUAAAGCUCUUUUACCCGGGAUGAUAAUGACAGUACCGGGAGAAUAAGCUCCGGCUAACUCCGUG